AUGUAUGAAAAUGUGUUUGAUAGAACAAAAUGUCUAUAUGCUGCCAUUGGAGAUUCAUGGCGCAUUAAGCCCCCAAACUAUUUUUAAUUUGUGCCUUUUACCCUGGAAACCCUCGUUACAGACAUGGCGAAACCGCUUUUGUGUCAACCCAGCCAUAAAAAGAAGAUGUCAAGUGACUGAUAGGGCCAGCAUAGGAUUCACGGAAGUUAGUUUCACCUCCAGAAGGAUAACUCCUCUUCAUUUUUUCAACCAGACAUGAUGGGAAGUCACAUACAUAAGAACGGGUGUAAUUCACAUGAUGUCAUACCCUCUUCAGGGUUUGUAUCCCUCUGUGAAACUCCAUCGAGUUUAUAUGGACCACCAGAAUCUACUAGGGAAAAAAAAACAUUCCAUUUUCAAAAGGUAUGAAGAUGAUGAAUAAUUUCAACAAGGCAAUAUGUUGUCUUGCUAAAUGUAUACAUAUUUCGAACGGCACAAAUGCAAUUAACAUUUCUAGAUGAGGUGGGAAUGGAAGCGAAGUAACGCUAAUAAUUCCAGCAACCUACCUGUAUGGAAAGCCUAUCCGGUGUGUUUGUGUCCGAUCCCAAUUCAUUUUUUGCUUCGAUACAAAUGGAAUCUUCUGAAUUGUACCGCUUUCUUGGGAGACUAACGGUGUACACUUGCUUGGGAAACUAACAGGUCCAAGGCACGGACACUCGUUAGCCAGUUUGGGUUGAUUAUUGUCUGAAAACACAGGAUUAAUGGACAAAAGAAAUGUGUCGUCGUUGCAAGAAUAAUCCAAUCAUCUUUCUUCAUCCGCGAAACCGUCAAACCCAUCUAAGAACACUCCCAGACACAAAAAAGGAGAACUGUGUCAAAUUUUGUCAAAAUCUGCAUAGGCAAAAAACAUGCGAACCAAAGGCGUAGGUUUGGAUAGGAACGGUAGGGACAUAACACUAGCAACUUUUCAGAAUGCUCAAAUUGUCCCCACCAAUUUUUAAGCAACCUUAUUUAGAGUAUAUUCAGUUCAGUUAUAAGUUAUAUAGAUUGUCUUCCCAUAUUUUGUAAUGUUAGGAUUUACCCUACCAUUGUUAAGUGAAUUAUUUUCAUUAUGUUCGGACUAACAUUUGCCCCUUUUUAAUUGCUGGAUGUACCAGUCCAUUUCCCCUCCUCAAACGCACCUUUGAUUGGCUGAUGACUUGCAUCCAUUUAAAAUGUAUUUGUAUAUUUUAAAUGUAUUUAUUCAUUUUAUUUGUGUUAUACCCUGACCCUGAUUCAUUUAUUUAGACAGUCAAAGACAAAUGUUUAUAUAUUUUUUUGCAUUCCAGGAUGGUUCGAGAUAAUGAGCAAGUUUGUAUUUAUCAUUUAUGUUAUUAUAAUGUCAGUUAUGUUCAAAUAUUGCAAUUUAAAUUUGCUAAUAAAAUCAUUUUUGGAAAUUUUCAUAAUGUUUCUAUAGUAAUUUUGAAAACAAAGGUUUUAAUGGAACACUGCAUCACCUGAAC